CGAACGCUGGCGGCGUGCCUAAUACAUGCAAGUCGAGCGCGAAAGGGUAGCAAUACCUGAUUAGAGCGGCGAACGGGUGAGUAACACGUAAACAAUCUACCUUAAAGUUUGGGAUAACCCUGCCAACGCGGGGCUAAUACCGGAUGUGAUGCAGCGAUCGCAUGAUUGCUGUCUUAAAGAUGACCUCUACUUGUACGUUAUCGCUUUAAGAUGAGUUUGCGGCCCAUUAGCUAGUUGGCGGGGUAAUGGCCCACCAAGGCUUCGAUGGGUAGCCGGCCUGAGAGGGUGAACGGCCACAUUGGGACUGAGAGACGGCCCAGACUCCUUCGGGAGGCAGCAGUAGGGAAUUUUGCGCAAUGGGCGAAAGCCUGACGCAGCAACGCCGCGUGAGUGAUGAAGGUCUUCGGAUUGUAAAGCUCUGUUGAGUGGAAAGAAACGUUUCGGCGCUAAUCAACCGGAAUCUGACGGUACCACUCGAGUAAGCCCCGGCUAACUACGUGCCAGCAGCCGCGGUAAUACGUAGGGGGCAAGCGUUGUUCGGAAUUACUGGGCGUAAAGGGAGUGUAGGCGGGAUCGUAAGUUAGGAGUUUAAUACGCAGGCUUAACCUGCGCGUGGCUUUUAAUACUGCGGUUCUUGAGUAUGAAAGAGGGAGAUGGAAUUCCAGGUGUAGCGGUGGAAUGCGUAGAUAUCUGGAAGAACACCAGCAGCGAAGGCGGUCUCCUGGUUCAAUACUGACGCUGAGGCUCGAAAGUUAGGGGAGCAAACAGGAUUAGAUACCCUGGUAGUCCUAACCGUAAACUAUGUACACUAGUUGUUGGGGGAGUCAAUCUUUCCAGCGACGUCGCUAACGCAUUAAGUGUACCGCCUGGGAAGUACGCCCCGCAAGGGUGAAACUCAAAG
rnacentral:rRNA from 1 species